rnacentral:tRNA from 1 species
CGUCCUGUAGUUUUAAUUAAAAAUGUUUGGCUUCGGACCAGGAGAUGAGUAAGGGCUCUCCGGGAUGU